rnacentral:rRNA from 1 species
UACGAAGGGGGCUAGCGUUGCUCGGAAUCACCGGGCGUAAAGGGCGCGUAGGCGGCGUUUUAAGUCGGGGGUGAAAGUCUGUGGCUCAACCACAGAAUGGCCUUCGAUACUGGGACGCUUGAGUAUGGUAGAGGUUGGUGGAACUGCGAGUGUAGAGGUGAAAUUCGUAGAUAUUCGCAAGAACACCGGUGGCGAAGGCGGCCAACUGGACCAUUACUGACGCUGAGGCGCGAAAGGCGUGGGGAGCAA